rnacentral:rRNA from 1 species
GUGGGGAAUAUUGCGCAAUGGGGGAAACCCUGACGCAGCAAUACCGCGUGAGUGAAGAAGGUUUUCGGAUCGUAAAACUCUUUUAUUGGGGAAGAAGAAGUGACGGUACCCAAUGAAGAAGUCCCGGCUAACUACGUGCCAGCAGCCGCGGUAAUACGUAGGGGACAAGCGUUGUCCGGAAUCACUGGGCGUAAAGGGCGCGUAGGCGGUUUUAUAAGUCAGAUGUGAAAGGUACCGGCUCAACCGGUGACGUGCAUUUGAAACUGUAAGACUUGAGUACUGGAGAGGCAAGUGGAAUUCCUAGUGUAGCGGUGAAAUGCGUAGAUAUUAGGAGGAACACCGGUGGCGAAGGCGGCUUGCUGGACAGAUACUGACGCUGAGGUGCGAAAGCGUGGGGAGCGAACAGGAUUAGAAACCCCAGUAGUCC